GGAGUAUGUGGUUUAAUUCGAUGCAACGCGAAGAACCUUACCUGGUCUUGACAUCCCGGAGACCCUUAGGAAACUAGGGGUGCUUCCAUCUGGAAGAAUCUGGAGACAGGUGCUGCAUGGCUGUCGUCAGCUCGUGUCGUGAGAUGUUGGGUUAAGUCCCGCAACGAGCGCAACCCUUGCCUUUAGUUGCCAGCAGUUCGGCUGGGCACUCUAAAGGGACUGCCGGUGUUAAACCGGAGGAAGGUGGGGAUGACGUCAAGUCCUCAUGGCCUUUAUGACCAGGGCUACACACGUACUACAAUGGCCGAUACAAAGGGCAGCGACACUGCGAGGUGAAGCCAAUCCCGUAAAAUCGGUCUCAGUCCGGAUUGGAGUCUGCAACUCGACUCCAUGAAGUUGGAAUCGCUAGUAAUCGUGGAUCAGCAUGCCACGGUGAAUACGUUCCCGGGCCUU
rnacentral:rRNA from 1 species